UCUCUGGUGGUCUAGUGGUUAGGAUUUAGUGCUUUUACUGCCAUGGUCCUGGGUUCAAUCCCUGGUUGGGGAA
rnacentral:tRNA from 1 species